rnacentral:rRNA from 1 species
AUGAAGGCCUUCGGGUUGUAAACUGCUUUUGUACGGAACGAAACGGUCCUUUCUAAUACAAGGGGCUAAUGACGGUACCGUAAGAAUAAGCACCGGCUAACUACGUGC